UACGUAGGGUGCGAGCGUUGUCCGGAAUUAUUGGGCGUAAAGAGCUCGUAGGCGGUUUGUUGCGUCGGCUGUGAAAUCCCGAGGCUCAACCUCGGGUCUGCAGUCGAUACGAGCAAACUAGAGUGUUGCAGGGGAGACUGGAAUUCCUGGUGUAGCGGUGAAAUGCGCAGAUAUCAGGAGGAACACCGAUGGCGAAGGCAGCUCACUGGGACGGUACUGACGCUGAGACGCGAAAGCGUGGGGAGCAAACAGG
rnacentral:rRNA from 1 species